GAGAGUACAGAUGUCAUGACAUUUAUUAAAAGGCAUGCUACAAUGCUAUACUUGUUAGGAAAAGAGUAGAGAUAUCAAUAGUCAGCAAAUAUACAAACUGAACGAAAAUGGAAUAUACUGUAGUGUACAGAAGCUUUAAUUAACCAUGCACUACGCACUUAGAAAAUAUGUUUUUUAAUAUUUUAUCAUCUCUUUGCAUUUAUAACAUGAUUCACUUCAACAAUCACAGAAUCCUUUUCUUCCAAAGCCACAAACUGUGUUACAAAUGAAAGCUGGUACUGCAGCUUAUCAAAAUAUACAAGACAAUUGAUGUUUUAUAUAAAACCACUUUAUAUGUCAACUUGUUCCCUAAAACCGCUUUUUUCCCCCCUUUUUUGGCCUGGUUUAAAAAAAUGUUGUUACAAAUAUUUACAGCAUUUACUUCUGUUAGAUGAACAUUCUUAUAAACUGAAAAAGGGAAUUUUAUGAACAGACCACAUAAAACACAAGACAAUGUCAGAGGCUCCUAGCUGUGCUAUUUUUUUUUUUUUCCUUAAAUACAGUACUGAAAAUGCCCAUCGAACUCUUAUCAUCUAAUCCAUUCUGUUCACAUUUAAACUCCCAUUUUCUCUAAGUAGUCUAUUCACCGAUAGGAAAUAGAAAGUAAAGGCCGCUUUGCACUGGGUCUUCUUUCAGAAAGGAGCUUGGGAAAAAAUGCUUAACAGAAAGGAGUCAAAACCAGAACAGUCAGUCUUUGGUCAGAGCAAUGAGGUGACAUUUUGAUGCAAAACUCUGCUUGGUUAGCAAUCUUUAUAAUUAGUACUUUUUGGAUGUGGGAUGAAUUUUUUAAAGAUCUGGGUAUCAAUGGUAAAGGGAAGAAAGGCCAGAGUAUGAUUUUUUAAAUGACAUCCACAAAGACUCCGAGCAGCUCUGUUCUUGGGCCUGCACAUGCUAUGAAUAUUAUGUGAGGAAGGCAAAAAGCAUAACUGAGACUUCAUUUUACAGUUACAACUGUUUCCUUGAAAGAAUGGUCUGUGGGAUAACAUUCUUUUAAAAUUAUAUACUAUGCAUUUCCUGAAAACCAGAAUGUUGAUACUA
rnacentral:lncRNA from 1 species